AUUGAACGCUGGCGGCAUGCCUUACACAUGCAAGUCGAACGGUAACAGGUCUUCGGAUGCUGACGAGUGGCGAACGGGUGAGUAAUACAUCGGAACGUGCCAAGUAGUGGGGGAUGACUACUCGAAAGAGUGGCUAAUACCGCAUGAGAUCUACGGAUGAAAGCAGGGGAUCGCAAGACCUUGUGCUACUAGAGCGGCCGAUGGCAGAUUAGGUAGUUGGUGGGAUAAAAGCUUACCAAGCCGACGAUCUGUAGCUGGUCUGAUAGGAAGAUCAGCCACACUGGGACUGAGACACGGCCCAGACUCCUACGGGAGGGGGCAGUGGGGAAUUUUGGACAAUGGGCGCAAGCCUGAGCCAGGAAUGCCGCGUGCAGGAUGAAGGCCUUCGGGUUGUAAACUGCUUUUGUACGGAACGAAAAGCCCCGGGUUAAUACCCUGGGGUCAUGACGGUACCGUAAGAAUAAGCACCGGCUAACUACGUGCCAGCAGCCGCCGUAA
rnacentral:rRNA from 1 species